CAGUCGCCACGGUAAUACGUAGGGUGCAAGCGUUAAUCGGAAUUACUGGGCGUAAAGCGUGCGUAGGCGGCUUUUUAAGUCGGAUGUGAAAUCCCUGAGCUUAACUUAGGAAUUGCAUUCGAUACUGGGAAGCUAGAGUAUGGGAGAGGAUGGUAGAAUUCCAGGUGUAGCGGUGAAAUGCGUAGAGAUCUGGAGGAAUACCGAUGGCGAAGGCAGCCAUCUGGCCUAAUACUGACGCUGAGGUACGAAAGCAUGGGGAGCAAACAGGAUUAGAUACCCCUGUAGUCCCUGUCUCUUAUAC
rnacentral:rRNA from 1 species